AGCGAACGCUGGCGGCAGGCUUAACACAUGCAAGUCGAACGCCCGUAGCAAUACGGGAGUGGCAGACGGGUGAGUAACGCGUGGGAACAUGCCCUUUGGUUUGGAAUAACUCAGGGAAACUUGAGCUAAUACCGGAUAAGCCCGAGAGGGGAAAGAUUUAUCGCCGAAGGAUUGGCCCGCGUCCGAUUAGCUAGUUGGUGAGGUAAUGGCUCACCAAGGCGACGAUCGGUAGCUGGUCUGAGAGGAUGAUCAGCCACACUGGGACUGAGACACGGCCCAGACUCCUACGGGAGGCAGCAGUGGGGAAUAUUGGACAAUGGGGGCAACCCUGAUCCAGCCAUGCCGCGUGAGUGAUGAAGGCCCUAGGGUUGUAAAGCUCUUUCGGCGGGGACGAUAAUGACGGUACCCGCAGAAGAAGCCCCGGCUAACUUCGUGCCAGCCGCCGCGGUAAU
rnacentral:rRNA from 1 species